CUACGGGAGGCAGCAGUAGGGAAUCUUCCACAAUGGACGAAAGUCUGAUGGAGCAACGCCGCGUGAGUGAUGAAGGUUUUCGGAUCGUAAAACUCUGUUGUUAAAGAAGAACAAGUGUUAGAGUAACUGUUAACACUUUGACGGUAUUUAACCAGAAAGCCACGGCUAACUACGUGCCAGCAGCCGCGGUAAUACGUAGGUGGCAAGCGUUGUCCGGAUUUAUUGGGCGUAAAGCGAGCGCAGGCGGUUUUGUAAGUCUGCUGUGAAAGCCCUCAGCUCAACUGAGGAAGUGCAGUGGAAACUACAAAACUUGAGUACAGAAGAGGAAAGUGGAACUCCAUGUGUAGCGGUGAAAUGCGUAGAUAUAUGGAAGAACACCAGUGGCGAAGGCGGCUUUCUGGUCUGUUACUGACGCUGAGGCUCGAAAGCAUGGGUAGCGAACAGGAUUAGAUACCCUGGUAGUCCAUGCCGUAAACGAUGAAUACUAGGUGUUGGAGGGUUUCCGCCCUUCAGUGCCGCAGCUAACGCAUUAAGUUCCCCCCUGGGGAGUACGACCGCAAGGUUGAAACUCAAAGGANUUGACGGGGGNCCGCNCAAGUGGUG
rnacentral:rRNA from 2 species